UACGUAGGGUGCAAGCGUUAAUCGGAAUUACUGGGCGUAAAGCGCGCGCAGGCGGCCUUUUAAGUCUGACGGUGAAAUGCCGGGGCUCAACCCCGUGCCCGCCGCGGAUACUGGGAGGCUGGAGACACGUAGAGGCAAGCGGAAUUCCGGGUGUAGCGGUGGAAUGCGUAGAGAUCCGGAAGAACACCGGUGGCGAAGGCGGCCUGCUGGGCAGUUUAGCUGACACUGAGGCGCGACAGCGUGGGGAGCAACAGG
rnacentral:rRNA from 1 species